GUUGAUCAUGGCUCAGGAUGAACGCUAGCUACAGGCUUAACACAUGCAAGUCGAGGGCAGCAUGUGGUUGCUUGCAACCAAUGAUGGCGACCGGCGCACGGGUGAGUAACGCGUAUCCAACCUUCCCUAUAGUAGAGGAUAGCCCGGCGAAAGUCGGAUUAAUACUCUAUGUUUUCCAAUGCAGACAUCUAAAAUGGACAAAGGUUCACCGCUAUAGGAUGGGGAUGCGUCUGAUUAGAUAGUCGGCGGGGUAACGGCCCACCGAGUCGACGAUCAGUAGGGUUCUGAGAGGAAGGUCCCCCACAUUGGAACUGAGACACGGUCCAAACUCCUACGGGAGGCAGCAGUGAGGAAUAUUGGUCAAUGGGCGAGAGCCUGAACCAGCCAAGUAGCGUGCAGGAUGACGGCCCUAUGGGUUGUAAACUGCUUUUAUACAGGGAUAAAGUGACGUACGUGUACGUUUUUGUAGGUACUGUAUGAAUAAGGACCGGCUAAUUCCGUGCCAGCAGCCGC
rnacentral:rRNA from 1 species